rnacentral:rRNA from 1 species
GACGAACGCUGGCGGCGUGCUUAACACAUGCAAGUCGAACGGAAAGGCCCCUUUGGGGGUACUCGAGUGGCGAACGGGUGAGUAACACGUGAGUAACCUGCCCUUGACUUCGGGAUAACUUCAGGAAACUGGGGCUAAUACCGGAUAGGAAUCCUUGCUGCAUGGUGGGGGUUGGAAAGCUUCGGCGGUUUUGGAUGGACUGGCGGCUCAUCAGCUUGUUGGUGGGGUAGUGGCUUACCAAGGCUUUGACGGGUAGCCGGCCUGGGAGGGGGACCGGCCACAUUGGGACUGAGAUACGGCCCAGACUCCUACGGGAGGCAGCAGUGGGGAAUAUUGCACAAUGGGCGGAAGCCUGAUGCAGCAACGCCGCGUGCGGGAUGACGGCCUUCGGGUUGUAAACCGCUUUCAGCAGGGGCGAAGCUUGUGGUGACGGUACCUGCAGAAGAAGCACCGGCUAACUACGU